AGUGAACGCUGGCGGUAGGCCUAACACAUGCAAGUCGAACGGCAGCACAGUAAGAGCUUGCUCUUACGGGUGGCGAGUGGCGGACGGGUGAGGAAUACAUCGGAAUCUACUUUUUCGUGGGGGAUAACGUAGGGAAACUUACGCUAAUACCGCAUACGACCUACGGGUGAAAGCAGGGGAUCUUCGGACCUUGCGCGAUUGAAUGAGCCGAUGUCGGAUUAGCUAGUUGGCGGGGUAAAGGCCCACCAAGGCGACGAUCCGUAGCUGGUCUGAGAGGAUGAUCAGCCACACUGGAACUGAGAAACGGUCAAGACUCCUACGGGAGGCAGAAGUGGGGAAUAUUGGACAAUGGGCGCAAGCCUGAUCAAGCCAUACCGCGUGGGUGAAGAAGGCCUUCGGGUUGUAAAGCCCUUUUGUUGGGAAAGAAAAGCAGAAGGUUAAUAACCCGCUGUUCUGACGGUACCCAAAGAAUAAGCACCGGCUAACUUCGUG
rnacentral:rRNA from 1 species